rnacentral:rRNA from 1 species
AUUGAACGCUGGCGGCAUGCUUUACACAUGCAAGUCGAACGGCAGCGCGGGCUUCGGCCUGGCGGCGAGUGGCGAACGGGUGAGUAAUGCAUCGGAACGUGCCCAGUAGUGGGGGAUAGCCCGGCGAAAGCCGGAUUAAUACCGCAUACGACCAGAGGGUGAAAGCGGGGGGCCGAAAGGCCUCGCGCGAUUGGAGCGGCCGAUGUCGGAUUAGCUAGUUGGUGGGGUAAAGGCUUACCAAGGCGACGAUCCGUAGCUGGUCUGAGAGGACGAGCAGCCACACUGGGACUGAGACACGGCCCAGACUCCUACGGGAGGCAGCAGUGGGGAAUUUUGGACAAUGGGGGCAACCCUGAUCCAGCCAUGCCGCGUGCGGGAAGAAGGCCUUCGGGUUGUAAACCGCUUUUGUUCGGGAAGAAAUCCUCUGGGCUAAUACCCCGGGGGGAUGACGGUACCGGAAGAAUAAGCACCGGCUAACUACGUG